UCAUUCUUACCUCAUUACAGCAAAACCUGGGUAUGUGUGUGUUAGCGCUAAGAAAUUUGGCUAAGAGUCAACAGCCAUAUCUAGCAGCUAUGUAAGUCUAUAUUUUAUGCCAGUGUAUUUCAAUAUCCUCACUUGUUACAGGGUGUGAACAAGGUAUAUUAAAUUUGCAAUCAAUCUAAUUAUUCUAUGGACAAUUCCCUCUGAACCAAAAAA